UGGGGAAUAUUGGACAAUGGGCGAAAGCCUGAUCCAGCAAUGCCGCGUGAGUGAUGAAGGCCUUAGGGUUGUAAAGCUCUUUUACCAGGGAUGAUAAUGACAGUACCUGGAGAAUAAGCUCCGGCUAACUCCGUGCCAGCAGCCGCGGUAAUACGGAGGGAGCUAGCGUUGUUCGGAAUUACUGGGCGUAAAGAGUACGUAGGCGGUGAUUCAAGUCAGAGGUGAAAGCCUGGAGCUCAACUCCAGAACUGCCUUUGAAACUAGAUCGCUAGAAUUAUGGAGAGGUUAGUGGAAUUCCGAGUGUAGAGGUGAAAUUCGUAGAUAUUCGGAAGAACACCAGUGGCGAAGGCGACUAACUGGACAUAUAUUGACGCUGAGGUACGAAAGCGUGGGGAGCAAACAGGAUUAGAUACCCUGGUAGUCCACGCCGUAAACGAUGAUAACUAGCUGUUCGGGGUCUACGAUCCUGAGUGGCGCAGCUAACGCAUUAAGU
rnacentral:rRNA from 1 species